AGGUUUCCUGAGUCAGGAAAAAACACCAGGAUUCAUACGGGAGUGGCCAGAAGUGAAGGAGAGGGUGCAGAGACAAGGAUGGCUAACCUCAAGGAAGGAAAG